GCUGUGAUGGACGUUUGUGGCUGUGAUCUAUUCGAACUGAUGUAGUCCACAAUUGUCCUCUAAGAAGUUCUGAGCUU